ACGGAGGGUGCAAGCGUUGUCCGGAAUCAUUGGGCGUAAAGAGUUCGUAGGUGGUAUGUUAAGUCUGGUGUUAAAGCCCGAAGCUCAACUUCGGUUCGGCACUGGAUACUGGCAAACUAGAAUGCGGUAGAGGUAAAGGGAAUUCCUGGUGUAGCGGUGAAAUGCGUAGAUAUCAGGAAGAACAUCGACGGCGAAAGCACUUUACUGGGCCGUAAUUGACACUGAGGAACGAAAGCCGGGGUAGCAAAUGG
rnacentral:rRNA from 1 species